GACGAACGCUGGCGGCGUGCUUAACACAUGCAAGUCGAACGGAAAGGCCCUGCUUUUGUGGGGUGCUCGAGUGGCGAACGGGUGAGUAACACGUGAGUAACCUGCCCUUGACUUUGGGAUAACUUCAGGAAACUGGGGCUAAUACCGGAUAGGAGCUCCUGCUGCAUGGUGGGGGUUGGAAAGUUUCGGUGGUGGGGGAUGGACUCGCGGCUUAUCAGCUUGUUGGUGGGGUAGUGGCUUACCAAGGCUUUGACGGGUAGCCGGCCUGAGAGGGUGACCGGCCACAUUGGGACUGGGAUACGGCCCAGACUCGUAGGGGAGACAGCAGUGGGGAAGAUUGCACAAUGGGCGGAAGACUGCUGCAGCAACGCCGCGUGCGGGAUGACGGCCUUCGGGUUGUAAACCGCUUUCGCCUGUGCCGAAGCGUGAGUGACGGUAAUGGGUAAAGAAGCACCGGCUAACUACGUG
rnacentral:rRNA from 1 species